rnacentral:rRNA from 1 species
AUUGAACGCUGGCGGCAGGUCUAACACAUGCAAGUCGAACGGUAACAGGAAGAAGCUUGCUUCUUUGCUGACGAGUGGCGGACGGGUGAGUAAUGUCUGGGAAACUGCCUGAUGGAGGGGGAUAACUACUGGAAACGGUAGCUAAUACCGCAUAACGUCGCAAGACCAAAGAGGGGGACCUUCGGGCCUCUUGCCAUCGGAUGUGCCCAGAUGGGAUUAGCUAGUAGGUGGGGUAACGGCUCACCUAGGCGACGAUCCCUAGCUGGUCUGAGAGGAUGACCCGCCACACUGGAACUGAGACACGGUCCAGACUCCUACGGGAGGCAGCAGUGGGGAAUAUUGCACAAUGGGCGCAAGCCUGAUGCAGCCAUGCCGCGUGUAUGAAGAAGGCCUUCGGGUUGUAAAGUACUUUCAGCGGGGAGGAAGGGAGUAAAGUUAAUACCUUUGCUCAUUGACGUUACCCGCAGAAGAAGCACCGGCUAACUCCGUG